GCCAUGUUCUCGUUUUAUGGCGCGUAUUCGAAGCCAUCCUUGUGGAAACUCACACUGGGAUUCCCAGACAGUGGUAGGUCACUGGCGCGUGACGAUGUUGUAGCUGUCGUUUUGUUGAUAACGACAUUACAUUCGGACACAGACGCACAACCAGCCUGACUCGUUGCGUCUUUCAACUGGCGGACAGGAAAUGGGUGGACACGACCGGCCGUCGCCAUAACAGGAUGUUCCUAAUGAAACAGUGGGCGUGGCUUCCGAGGCUUGAAAGAGACAGUGAUCGUGAAAUUGACACGUUUCGGUGUGGACAAGUCACGUGAUUAUUGAGGAAAUCUGUUUUGAACUUUGAAAACCACGAAUGGUGUGCCUCAAGUCAUUAAUACAUUCUUUCCAUUAGCUUUGACCAGUGGUAAAUUUAAGUGGGGCAUUUCUGUCAUAGGUGUGAUAUAUUGUUAAGCGUUUAGCACAUAUGGGUGGAAUCAUUCCGGAUGGAAUUCAAGGGAGGGGUUGACGUUGAUGGGGAUUAGAGAAGAAUUAUCUAUUCUAAUUACAUUCACAUUCUUCUGUCUGAGUACGUGUAGGAGGAAUUCAGAAAUCUAUUUUAAAGUUGAUGACUAAUUAAAAUUGUCCUGAAAAUAUAACUAUUUAACGUCACUUAAAAGGUAAGUUGAUACUUCUGUUAGUGUUUUUUGCGAGUUGGGUAUAUCAUUAUAACGAAUCAAGGUUUUAAGUUUAUUUGAACAAACAUAGAACGGUGGUAAUGUAAUCCGUGUUGAAGCAACGACAUAACUUAAAGGAUGGAGCUGAGGAAGGAGGCAAUGCAUCGUCAUCUUUAGGUGACCAUGGGUGUAUGGGAGGUUGGGAUGUGGGUUUCGGGUCAAGUAAAUGACGUUGGAGUUGUAAAGUAUAUAGAAACAGUAUAAUUUGGCUUAGUAACGGUAGAAAUAAAUGAUUUUUCGUUUAUGGAGUAUUUUUCAUUUGAUAUACGCUUAACACAAUCCGUACGUUAUCUAAGUACAGAUAUAUGCGGAUAAAUAUUUGGAAGAUGCACGACGUGAGUUUCGAUUUGGCACUCAGUGUGAGAAGUGCUGAAUACCAAACCGAAACAGCUAGCCUCCAAAUACGUUGUGCGUGUGAAUCUGUUUUAGAUAGCGUCGGAAUGGUUGUUGUUUAAUAUCGCACUUUGAAUAUCCAUGUAUGUUAGACCAGGAGUAGUGCUGUUUUCUGUACAAUGUAGUGAUUCCAUUCACAACGUUGAAACUUACAUUAGUUUAAUACUAUAUCAUCUAACAUUUAUUACUUUAGAAAUGCUUUUGUCUCGUGGCUUUACCUGGCGAACGAGUUUUCACAUGUAUGUGAUUGUCUUAUAUCCUGUGAACAUCACAAUGUUCGUUGUCGGGUCAAAAUGAAAAAUAAAAGCCAAUCGACAUUUCUGGAGAACUUGAGGUCCAUAUGGGUGUUUUCGCUGGUAAUUCAUAGGUUAUGUUUUAUAUUUGCUGCAAAAUUAAUCUUUUCCAUUGACAUUCCGAAUAGCAGUAUUAUAUUGCUGGGAGUACUUGAUAUUUAGAGCGAAUGUGACAAGGUGUCCAUAAUUUACGCUGAACAUGCUUCAACUGGGCUUUGGUAACAUGCCCUACGGAGUUAUCUCCCAUCCAUUGCUCACGGGUCGCGUUUCAGUUAUUGAUUAAUUUUGUUCGCUGUGAUCAUUCACCGGGACCCAUUCUUGGUUAAAUGGAACUAAUGUUGUCGUCUUGCUAUGUGGUAUUAUCAACCAUUGUCUGUUAUAAAUUAAUUGCAAUAAAAUAGUAAUAAUUAUAAUUACAGACCCAGUGAACUAUUUUCUUUGGAAUAUUGGAAAGCAAUCGUUAUGUGCAAGGAGAAUUCUAUUUGUGCUUCAGAUUCUUGCUACGUCAUGUUGAGUCUAGUCGGUAUUUAUAUCCUUUGAUCAUGGCAUGGAUCACUGAUCAUAUCCGAUUGAUCACCUAUCAAUGAUUAAAUAUUCAAGAGGCUUUUGGAACAUUGUCAAAGUGGGAGUUCUGUAACCAAUGUAAACUAGAUAUAACAUAUGAUAUAUGAUUGGCUGAUGGUUCAACGUUUUAACCAAUGGAGACCCAGUUUACAAAAAACCGACGCCAUACUUAGUGUUUACAUAUUUCCAAGGCGCUCAGCUUCAAAACAAAGCACUUCCCGGUGUAUAUUCUGUCAAUGAUAUUCACUCAAUCAUAACACACUCUACUGAUAAAUCUAUGGAAUGUGAUGACGCAGACAUUGACUUGGUCCAACAGAGUGGACACAACCUUGCAUGUGAAUAUGCGUCUAGAUCUAACACGAUCCAGAGAAAUCUCACCAGUUGUCACUGAUGUUGACAAAAUGGCUGAACCUAAGAGUAAGACAUGUGACAUUUUACCACCAACCAUGCCUAAUGACUCAAAGAAAAAGUCUACACUUUCAAAACGUUCUAAUGCAUUCGUCAUAGACUGGGGGGAACCAAAACAAACAAGCCUUCAAGAAGCCUUCUUAAAAUUUCAAAAAGAUCGACAGGUAAGAACGUGUAUGAGAAACUUGAGUGUUCGACAUGAGAGGUAGACCUUUCAAUUCCACGUAGUUGACCUGUAUGAAUGUGUCCCAUAACCGGAUUCACAUUCUUUCAUUUUCACACUUAUUUUAGAAAGCAUUGUAGGCAUUCUUAUAACCCAAAUUCAACAAAAUAAUUCCCCACCAUUUCUGAUUGGAAAGCAUUUACAAUUCAUCUCUGUCAUAAAAUUAUGACAUACAGUCAUUACCUGUAAUAAGGACACCUAAAUAUGUUAAUUGUAAAAAUGUUACAUUUGUAUACAUGUAUUAAUUUAUCACAAUAUUUUCAUUAAGUCCUCAUGAAGAUUACAGUCAUCAACUGUAAUUUGACUUUACAUAUAAUAUACAGCUCAUUAGUUUUGUGUGAAGCAUAACAUAUUGAAAAAACAUUUUAGGAUUUGACAUUAGUUAUCCACUUACAAUUUGACAUACAUGAGAUAUAACUGAUUCGAAAAGCAUACAGCAAAUCCAUUCACAUAGUAAUUCCAAUGUGUCUGGGAUAAAUGCUGUUUCAAGUCAGCCUAGAUUUAACCUACAGUAAGGGUUUAUCUUACCAUUGUGGCAAUUCCUUUGUAUCUGUUUGGUUUUGAGUGAUAACGAUAGAUCAUAAUUUAUUACCAUUACUUAAUCCUCUUCUUAUCUCCUAGUAGGAGACAGCUUAGUGAGGAUACUUUGAAGGUCACUGUGAAAUGUGUAGCAUCAUUAAUAAUAAAGUUGCAUGAGACAGUCCCUAACAAUAUGUUAAAAAUGUUCCAGUUUUAUGGUUGUAUUUUUCUAUAAAAUUAAUAUUUACCGACAAAGUUCAUUCAAGGUGUCUUAGUUUACUUGUCUGAAACACUAGCAUAAAAUGUUGUAGAAAAAUCUGACAUUAAACAUUUCAAGCUAGAUUAAAAUGCAUUACAUUUUGUUCAAGGCUUGUUUUGUAAUCAAAGAAAUGAAGCACUUUAACUGAUUAACUCUCCAGAGGAGAACGAGAAAAAAAUGUCAUAUAUAUAUAAUCAAGUUUAAAUUAUUGAGGCACAUUGAGUGUUGAUCAGAUUUUGUAUGAUAAGAUAGAGCACAGGCCCUUGGCAAUAAGCUUGCAAAGCCCAAAGCAAAUUUGAUUGCUAUCAAAGCUGUUUUCAAUUCAUGACUUAUCAAAGCAGGAUAAACAAACAGAUUUAUUUAUCUCAGUGGCUGAGGAGAAUUAAGUAGGCUUGAUUCGUGUAUUGAACUGAAUACAUUGACAUAUGCAUUCUUGUCUGAUAUUGUGGCUUAGCUGGUGUCGACUCCAAGUCGGGAACUUGGUGUCUCAUACAUUGUUAACACAUAGCAGCGCAGGUGCUUCAUUGAUUAAUGUGAUUUAUUGGAUCUUGCGGAAUGUGCUUAUUCUGGGAAUGUGACGAGGCCAUCUUUCUUUAUAUCGUCAAUACAGUUUUUACAUAGUGGGAACCAUUAAAGAUUUAGCUUUUCAUUAGGAAGCUGGUAAGAAUAUUCUCUUGUGGCUGUUUUAAUCUUGUUUGCAGAUACGUGCAUGACAUAAUGGUUAAUUAACUGAUAUUAUUUUGACAUACCUUGGUUAAAUUUGAUUUAUGAACUAUUUCGUUAAGAAAGACGUUUUGGCGUGAGUCCAGAUAUUGUUUGGUGUUGGUAUUGGAAGGUAUGAUCAUUCACAUGGUAAUUAAGUCAUGUUAAAUUAUCAGUCUUGGUGUUAUUUUGUUUGGCUUGGUGUAAUAUAUUUUAAUAGCAUAUUUUGUGAAAGCUGGAGUUUAGGGCCAUAAAUGCUUGAUACAUGCUAAUAAUAGUUUAUUAAAAUGGAGAGAAGAUUAAUGAUUAGCUUCAGGGGAUAACUGAAGGGUUGUUAAAUGUCAAAACAAAAUACCGACUUAAAAAAGUUUGUAAUUCUAUAGAGUUUGCUUGAUGAGUGCAGAGAGUUUCAUGUGCCGACUAAUUGAAAAAGGCUGCCAUGCUUCAGUGUUAGAGAUAAAAAGUGAACGGAAUGGCCCCAAAUGCCUCCUCCCGUUUAUAUGGUUCCUAUGGAAACCAGUGCCAUCACAUCGUAUCGUCAGAGCAAAGUUUAUCCCUGUAACCAGGUAACAGCCAUUAUAAAUCCAGCCUUUAUUGGCGUGAUAGGUGCACAUCCCGGAGACUUGGGUAACCGUUCAUAUUGGAAUGUGUAGUAGUUGUGUAAAUUAGGUCUGCUGGCUUGAUGGUGGGUUGACGUAGGGCUGAUCUGACACAGCGUUUCUGUGCGGUGGAGGGCAUGUGGUCGGGGGAAGGUAACACUAGUAGUCGGGACACUGGCUUUGCAGGCAGACGAGGCCAGAUUAGAUGGCUGGCAAAUAUUGACGAACAGAAAGGCAUACACUGCUAGCUGGUUACUGAAUCCUUGUGACCGCUAUGCAAUGUGACCUUUUACAACUUUUUUUACCUACGUGGCUAGUGAUCUACUGAAGAGUAGCAUUAAGGCAUUCAGGCACGUCCCUGUGGAACAGGUUUUGGCUCAUCAAGCAGGUUGAGCGACCCUUCAAGGGAACAAGGCUGUAAACUUUGUAAAGGCAGACUAUAGAAAGGUCAGGCCACUCGCUGAUUGAGUUGCUUGGCCAGGCUUUGUCAACAGUCAAUGGAUGAGCGAGCGAAUAGCUCCCGGUUUUCCUUUUCAUGUGAGAGAGUGUUGGUUUGACUACCCUCUAAAGGUGCGGUUCAGUAGGGAUUGGCGAAAGAGGGCCGCUACGUUCCAGGAUUUAAGCAUCCACACAAUGACUUGUGGUUAUUCUGGUCGAUGUGUCGCGAGUCGGAAGGUCGGGAUAGGAGCCCAGUGGCCCGCGCAAUGCACUGAGACAUGGGAGAGUCGACUGCCCUCACAAACCAGUUUUUAGUCGUAUGGAAGCUGUCAUUAACGGCCUCUUGGGUAUAAAUUUAGAAAGCGGAUCGGGAUACGUCAGUUAGAACAUGUUGGCUAUGUUGGUCGUUCCCCUGUCGUUGGGUUAGAUUGGUAUUCAAGCGAGGAUUUGCUUGGCUUGGGAGUUGUGUUGUUGCCAGUGACAUUUUUCUAGGGAGUUACAUUUGAAUUUGAAGAUUGAUUUUUUCCCGAGGAAGUUGUGUUGGACUUCUCCUUUGUUCGGUCACACAUGGAUGACGGUGAGCGCUGUAGAGGAAAGCUACUCGACAUGAUUAUCCCAGAUCAACGUAGUUUGUGUCCUUUGUCUCGCAGUCUGUUCAGGGAUCUCAUACAGGGAUACUGCCAUUGAGAAUUUAGUGUAUACUACUUCGACCACUGCUUAAAUAUUUGUUGCUGGAGAUAAACUCAAGCUUUGCACUCGUGGCCUUCCUCACGCCUAACAGAACAGCACAUCAACUUUCGUACGUGUUCACUUUCGCCUGGCUACGUACGUAUGUCACCGCUACGCAUACGCACUCGGAGAUGCCCGUCGCGGCAGGAAUGGUGAGAACAGUCUAGGUUCUGGCGCCAUCUUACCUAACAGCAUUAGACUGGUUUCCACUACUCUAAUACUGUCAGGUAAAGAUGUCUACAGAGCUUAUUAACCAACAUUUAUCGUCAUUCAACAAUCGUUCUCUGCAAAAACCUCGGGCUCCCCACAGCUCUCUUGUCUUGGCUACUAAGUCAAAUAUCUCAGCUAUGCUGCUUGUCCUUGCUUUUCUGUUGUUUGCACUGCAGCUAAUUCUUUUGUGCACCUUUAUUGUCAGUACAAUUGCAUUGAGCAGUCUCUUAGACAUUUAUAAGUUCAAAGUUUGCUUCAGAAUGACCAUUUUGCUUAGAAAAAAGUAUUUUCAUGUUUUCAAAAUUUACAAUUUUAGCCCUAAUACCAUCCUUUAUGUAAGUAUGAACAUUUUGUUUGUAAUGAUGUUUUUAUUUUGUUUGUUUCAUGUCAGAUACAAAAACAUUCUCUUUGUUAUUGAUGCUUUAUAAGGUCAUAUCAUGAGCAUGGCUUUACUGACUGAUGAUGAUGAAUUUCCUUAUGAAAUAGACAUAAUUUAUUUCAUGUACAUAUCAUUAUACAUUGUGACUCAUGACAUCCGUGACUAAAAGGGCUUGUCUUCCGAGCUAUUUCAAUCAAUCACACGUUUGUCAAAUAAGGACAGUUUCAUAUUUUUAUUGUUAAUGUUCUGUGUGAAUAUUUUUCUAAAUUUUCCUAAUUUGGAAGUGAUACAUUUUUGGUUUAUAUGUAAAGAGAAUGUUUUACUUAACAAAGAGAAUGCUUGGAAAUUCCCCCAAAAGCCACAAAAUUAGUUUUCAAAAGUUUAAUAAUUUAAUGAAUUGAUAAUUAUUAACUGCUCACAUUAUCUGACAAUAGAGUGCGUGCAUUUUUAAAUUAUGUAGUAAGUAACAUCUGAUUCUUUAAUGAUAAAGUAGCAGUUGCUUCAGUGGGGAGCUGAGGAAGGAUUCCGGAGAAAUCAGAAAUGGAUUUGACGAUGGCUUGAGGUGGACUGAGGCUAACGAAGGAGGCUAACGAGAUGCUAAUGAGGUGAGGUUCCCAGAACACAGGGGCUAGACAGGUGUAAAUCACAAUCUGUCUUCCUACAGUGCCUGGUGGGGCCCACCGAUUACACCCCGCCCUCAGUCUUUGAUUCCUGGAACAUUGUGGAUUGGAACCUAGCAUUAGAAGCCCUGCUUAGUUAAGAUUUAUUGCACUUGCUAAUUGUUCCGCUGUCGUCUUCUUGAUUUGUAGGGGCCACAUCUGUGGAUUAUUACAAGAACCAGAGGAAUGGCAUGUGUCUUAUUCACAUCUAACCAUAGAAAUAUUUAAUUUUCAACUUGGUUUUUGUGUAAGUUUACUCUUAAUGAGGAUAAAGAAGGUAGUUUACUUUUACGAAGUUUGCUGGAUGAAAUUAGCUAGCGUGUUUAUAAUACUGAAAUGUUUGUUGAAUAUUCUCGUUAAACAGUGUUAAUUAAGGUUGAUAUUUUACCUUAAUUAAAAUACAGUGCUAGGAUUAGAAAGUAAAUGUUUUGCAAUAAGGAGUUUUUGUGGAAGGUUUAACUAUCAAAACUGACAAAGGACCUGCCCUAGAUCAUGAACCUGUAUUAGUAACUGAGAAGAAAUGUAUGACUAAGGGCCUGUCAAACUGAACUGAUCACCACAGCGAUGUAGACUACGUUCUGUAAGUGAGGUCUCGAUGAUUAGCAGUGUCUGAGAAACGGCCAAGUAGCUCCCCUGUUCAGCUAGAUGGCCGGGGUGAUAGUCACACCAUUGUCUGACUGUCUUCAACACAACAACCCUCAAGGUUUGUAGCCCCUUACCCAUUGUGAUCAUGACUUGGACAUACCCCCUGGCUUGCCUUCAGGACUUGGCCUGGAGUUAAUGUCCCAAACGGAUGACGUAUUACCUGUGUUACUACUUGUAUCAUGUCAUUGUGUAAAGUUCUGUAAGGUAACUCCAAAACCUUCAGUUCUUUGUGUUGUGCACUCCAUACUCUGUGACAACUGUAGUCAGGUCAACAUCCAAGCUUUAGCCCUUGGCUAAAUUCAAGGUGUCUGAAUUUUCUUACUCAACCUGUAUACAGUGUUUUGAAAUUAAGGGGGUUCUCGUUAUAGUGUGAUAUUUGGAUCAAGGGACUAUUAAAUCUUGAUUGCUUUACAUAUGGCCAGUGAAAAGGGCUUUAUGACUUUCAUGCUCACUUUUAACUACUGAUAUUUGUGUAGAAUUUCUAAAAAUCCUAAUCCAGUGUCAAGGUCAUAUAUAUAUUGAAUUAUUAUUUGUUAUUCUGUCAUUCCUUGAACAGACUUGAAUUCUGUCAGAAACACCCAUCUGAAGAAUCCCAUUCUAGAAUGCACCUCUGACUUUACUACUGAACACCUUUCCUCCAUAUUAAAGAAUUAGCUCUCACAAUCCACUUUGCCAUAUUAAAUUGUAAUCCCAGUUGUGGAAACCAGGGCUGUUAUCUCCAAUCCUUUGUCCCCAACCCUUGCAUUGACCUGAUGCCCUUUAUCCCAUUACCCUCUGUCCAGCCCAUGCUAGUUAAUCUUCAGUCUUUCCACCCUUUCAGCUUAUGUCAAAACAACUGCAUUAUCUUUUCAAGAUUUUACCAAUUUUGGCUGUUUAUCCUCAGAUCACCAAACAAUGCUGGUUUGUCCUCCCAACAGACCUUUGUUCUCAACCCUCUAUUCUUCUUCCUUCACUCUGAUCCACCCCGACCCACCCCUUCCCAGCUGGCCAAAGAAGGUAUUCACUUGGAGUGACCCCCACCUGCUGACUGACCACUUUCCAAAUGACUUCCAACAUUGAGCAAGACAACAGAGUGAUGUACCUUGAUGCAGUUGACGCAAAACCCACAACUGACCACAAAGGCGAUAGACCCUCGCUGUGUGAUCACAAUGGCCACCCCACCCACAACUGACCACAAAGGUGAUAUACUCUGACCAUGGUGGACACAAUGACCGAUCUGAAAUUAUGACCCAAACAACCAUUGAGUUCCCUGGCAAUUAGGUACAGCACUAGGAAAGCAGCAUGAAAGCCAUCCAUCUGAAUCUUAAUGACUCCCAAAUAAUUAGUCCUAGUUCGUCAGUCUUGAUUCAUAUAGCCGAAUACUCAGGAGAUUGAUUUUAUGGUAAUGAUGAUAUGGACACUGAUGAAGGCGUGCUUAUUGGGCAGCCCUUGUAUGACAUGGGAGAAAGAUUACACUGAAAUAAGCCUCUUUUCGCCUUAUCACAAUGGCCAGUAAUAAUGGUAUUUGUCAUAGUAUUCAAGGUUGAAUAUUUUGCCUAUUAUUUCAACUCGUAUAACCACCUGGCGAUCUUUGUGGAGGGCAGCCAUUUUGAGCACAGAUAAAGGCCUCCAGAUAUUGCUAUUUCAAGGCUUUCUCAGCUGUAUUGUAUUGUCACCAUCUGGGUUCAAAUGUAUGCCAUAAAUAUUCCUAAUCUUUACACAGAGGAAUAAUAUUAGCAUAAACUGGUAUAAAGAAACUGGUUUUAAUAGUAUUGAUCUUUCUGAGAAAACAUUACUCUUCCUAAAUUGGAUGAAUCGUAAACCCUCUGAUGGAAUUGUUUCUUGAAAAUUUGAAUGGUAAACAUAUUUGUUAAGUGAAAUUGCGAAGAGAUACUAAUGUGAGUUGAUACUACUAGAUGGAUGUAUUCUUGUCAAAGACUUGACUCUUCAUGAACACAGUGUUUGAAUUCAACAUAAAUCUGCCUGAGGCUAUUUUGUUUUAAAUCAGCAAAAUGUAACGGACGCAAUCAAACUUCUUGUCUGUAAUCAUGAGUCAGGUAAAUUUUGGACUGGCCCUACACAAGAAAGCAUGCCUUCAGUUUGACCCCGUUAGGCAACCAGGCAUCUGAUCAGUGAUGUAUAAACUCCAGCAUUCUUUGCCCAGCUCACUCUCGGCAAGCUCACUGGAUCUUAGAAAACUGUUGUGAAAUACCUUCUCGCGUGACUAGAGCUUAUAACCUGGAACGAGGAAUAUCUGUGUCAGAGAGCUUUAGCCUGCUCUCAGGUAGUCAGUGUUUAGCCCUCAGAAGUAGCAAUGUAAGGACCAGUGAUAGAUCGACAAAAAGGGUCUUUUGAAAUGAUUUUUAAAACAUCCUAUGAUGUACCAGAUCUUUUGGAUUCUCAUUUCAGCAUAGUGGUGAAAAGAGAUUACUGCUGAUUUUUUGGACUUUGUGUGAAUUAUAUCUGAUGGAUUGAAUUGAAACAUUGUUGCACAUCAAUUGGGUCAUAGGUUUAGGGUUUCUAUCUAACUCCAGGGCCCCUUACAGUCAUUAAUUUUUAAUGUUAUAUGGCUCAGACCCAUUGAGGUUUCAUUCUGAAUUUCAAAGGUAUUGAUCAGUGUUAAGCUGAUAAUGUUGAGGAUUAUUACUAAUUGGAUCUUGGGGGAUGUAAUUAAAAGUAACUUAUAAAUAGAAUCUCUAUUGUGUCUUCAUGUUAAAAGUUCUGAAAAUGUUUUAUUGGAAUUACACAGAAAAUUCAAAAUACAUUAAUGCUCAGAACAAGCCUGUUUAUAAUUAGAUAAGUUGAGUAUAAUACUAGAGUGGAAAAUCUUAGGAUAAUGCUUUAUUUGUAAUGUUGGUAAUAUAAGCAAGUCAUGGUAUCCUUGUCGUAACCCUUAUGUCAGAACCUGAUGAUUCAGAUGUCCCAUACAUGCAAAGCAGAACGCCUCAAGGACUCCCAAGCCCUAUUAAAUUUCUGAUUCUGCUGCGUAAGCUGUUUCUGUCCAAAUUCAUUUUUAUAUACCAGUAGGUGCAUCAGAGAUCUAACACUGGUGAGUGAACGUGAGGCUUAGACUUUCAUUGGAUGACCUCCUCAAACAACUUGAUGUUGAGAUAGUGCACUUAAAAACUGGUAUUUUGUAAGACGUGGGAGUUCAGGUCAUGUACUGUUUUUUAACAAUGUGGAUUCAGAUAUUGUUUGUUGUAUACGGUAUUCAAGUAGAUUGUCAGUUUCACUCGUCCUGUUUGACUGUGUGUGAAUCUGUGUUUUGGUGAACAUUGUUGUAUUGGCUGGAAACAUGGAUUAGAUUGGAAUGUAAAGAAUGUCAAUAGUGAAAAAGGUUUGCAGUUUCAAGAAAAAGGUUUGUUCAAGUAGUAAAGGUAUUCAAAAUAAGUACUUUCCAAUUGAAAAUUUGAAAAGAUCAUUAAUGCUUGAUUUUGAAGGCUUACUGAUUUCAGUGUUAACUGAUGGAUUUGAAAUUAAUUUAUCCAUUUUCAGUAUACAUGUAUAAUCUACAGGUAUGUUGCAAUAGAAUUGUCAGUUUGAUUGCCUAUUUCUCAAGAUUUUAGUUGAGGUUAAGAGUUAACAGUUUUGCAAGUGUGAGCAGUCGAUUAAGAUAGAAAGGCGACUAUUUAAAUUUCCCAAGGAUUUUUUAACUCAACCCUCAAGUUAUGGUGACACUUUGAAAGAUUGGUGUGUUAACAAAUCAAGGGGUAUGUCCUGGGGUUAUGAGUAGGAUACAUGUUAAAUCUGUUAUAACAGGGCUUCAGUAAGACAAUCUUGCUAUUGUGCAGAUAUUUGGAGAACAUAUAAAACAAGUGACUGCUUGAUUUGCAUUUGAUAGAUA